rnacentral:rRNA from 1 species
AUUGAACGCUGGCGGCAGGCCUAACACAUGCAAGUCGAACGGUAACAGGAAGCAGCUUGCUGCUUUGCUGACGAGUGGCGGACGGGUGAGUAAUGUCUGGGAAACUGCCCGAUGGAGGGGGAUAACUACUGGAAACGGUAGCUAAUACCGCAUAACGUCGCAAGACCAAAGAGGGGGACCUUAGGGCCUCUUGCCAUCGGAUGUGCCCAGAUGGGAUUAGCUAGUAGGUGGGGUAACGGCUCACCUAGGCGACGAUCCCUAGCUGGUCUGAGAGGAUGACCAGCCACACUGGAACUGAGAUACGGUCCAGACUCCUACGGGAGGCAGCAGUGGGGAAUAUUGCACAAUGGGCGCAAGCCUGAUGCAGCCAUGCCGCGUGUAUGAAGAAGGCCUUCGGGUUGUAAAGUACUUUCAGCGGGGAGGAAGGGAGUAAAGUUAAUACCUUUGCUCAUUGACGUUACCCGCAGAAGAAGCACCGGCUAACUCCGUG